rnacentral:rRNA from 1 species
UGCUGGUGCUUUGUCCAAUUGUGAACCACCCUAUUCCAUUCCGAACUAGGAAGUGAAAGCAGUUGGAGCCGAUGAUACCUAUUUACUUAGGGAAAGUAGGCUGCGCCCGCAU